rnacentral:rRNA from 1 species
AUUGAACGCUGGCGGAAUGCUUUACACAUGCAAGUCGAACGGCAGCACGGGGGCAACCCUGGUGGCGAGUGGCGAACGGGUGAGUAAUGCAUCGGAACGUGCCAUUGAGUGGGGGAUAACGUAGCGAAAGUUGCGCUAAUACCGCAUAUUCUGUGAGCAGGAAAGCAGGGGACCGCAAGGCCUUGCGCUCUUUGAGCGGCCGAUGUCAGAUUAGCUAGUUGGUGAGGUAACGGCUUACCAAGGCGACGAUCUGUAGCGGGUCUGAGAGGAUGAUCCGCCACACUGGAACUGAGACACGGUCCAGACUCCUACGGGAGGCAGCAGUGGGGAAUUUUGGACAAUGGGCGCAAGCCUGAUCCAGCCAUGCCGCGUGAGUGAAGAAGGCCU